rnacentral:rRNA from 1 species
GCUAACGACGGGCGGGCGGCGGCGGGAAUGGUUGGGGUGUAGGCGGUGUUUGGAAUCAGUGGGCGUAAUGGUGGGGUAUGCGGUACUGUGUGUUGGACGUGAACUCCCCGGGCUCAACUCGGGGCGGUCGUUCAAAACUGCCGUGCUAGAGUGUGGGAGAGGGAAGUGGAAUUCCCGGUGUAGCGGUGAAAUGCGUAGAUAUCGGGAAGAACACCUGUGGCGAAGGCGGCUUCCUGGCCCGCAACUGACGCUGAGGCGCGAAAGCUAGGGGAGCAAACAGGAUUAGAUACCCUGGUAGUC